rnacentral:rRNA from 1 species
GACGAACGCUGGCGGCGUGCCUAAUACAUGCAAGUCGAACGCAGUGGGGACGGGUGAGUAACACGUGGGUAACCUCGCAUCAGAGGGGAUAAAAGUUGGAAACAGGUGCUAAACCGAUACUGAUGGAUGAACUCGCGGGGCAUUAGCUAGUUGGUGAGGUAACGGCUCACCAAGGCCACGAUGCAUAGCCGACCUGAGAGGAUGAUCGGCCACACUGGAACUGAGACACGGCCCAGACUCCUACGGGAGGCAGCAGUAGGGAAUCUUCCGCAAUGGGCGAAAGUCUGACGGAGCAACGCCGCGUGAGUGAAGAAGGUUUUCGGAUCGUAAAACUCUUUUGUUAGAGAAGCGGUAUCUAACCAGAAAGCCACGGCUAACUACGUGCCAGCAGCCGCGGUAAUAC